GACUAGUUAUUUCUACGACGUACAAUAAACAUGUAUCGUUUUAAAAGUUUCACUUGCUACUAGAAUUUAAAAUCAGUGCAGUGUAGUGAUUCUCAAUACUCAUUAAAGGCGCGUUUUUACGAGACGAAUUUUGUUGACCGAAUUAAGUUGAUCAACCAAAGUUGAACACGAGUUGAAUCAGAUUAAGUUCACACGUGUACUAAAAGUUAAUCAAUCACUUUCGGCACUAUCGUCGAAUUUAGUGGAAUUGCCGUCCUACUCGUGAAAAAAAAAGGUUACUUUACUCACUUGUUACAUAAAUAACUAUUAUGUAACUUGAGAAAAAAAUCGCAACGAGUGAGGUAAUAGAAGAAAUCAAUUGAGAGCAUCAAAAGGCUUGUUAAAGGAACUAGCGUAGAGGAUAAUGAAGAAUUUGGAAACCAUUUGAAAACAAGAAAAAUUUAAUGAGCUCCUGGGGAAAGUUCGGGGUAAAAAAAAACAAGAUACACUUUAAAAGUUUUAUAAAAGAGUGAUACAGGGUCGCAAAAACAGAAUGUCUAUAUCUUCAAUAAUAGCUGAGAUACAGUGCAGUCUCAACUAACAUAAAAAUGUUAAUAGAGCACAUUAAUAAAAUAAGUAAUUUGAUAAGUUAAGAGAACUUCAAGUGUCUAAGGGACAUAUGGAACCGCUUAUGAAGACAUUGAGGACGGUCAGUUUACAAUACGAAUACAAUAGUAAGUAGAUAGAUUUAUGAUUCUUCACAGUCACAUUAAUAUAAGACAAAAAUGUUGGUGGCGAGAUAAUUAGGUC